CACAGUCUUAUCAUGCGCUAGGGGGACCCCGAAGUGCCCAAAUACCCUUUCCACUGUGUUGAGCAAGAUCCUACAAGCCUGAGAAUGCGCUGGGCCUACACACAGAAAGUCAUCUCGAUCCCCGACUCCUGCCGCACCACCCACUCCAGGAAAGUGCUGAAGCAUUCAAAGUAAAAACAGGAUAUGGAACAACCCAUCGGAAGGCACAUAUUCACGUAAUACUGGCUAUCAAAACUACAACCGAGGAGGUGAUGGCAAUCUGGG